CAGGUCGAAUCACAACACAGAUGUCGAUGCCUCAUUUCAUCAUCAGAUUGUGUGCAUAGCAAGUGUGCGAGGGAGGCCCUUUUUACGCAGAGAUCGCACUAUGGCGCUGCCAGCAAGAGGAAGUGACGGGGAGCUGGAUGGGAACCAAGGUGAACAAGCACAAAGAGGACUGUUGUUUCUGUUUUAUGAAACACAUCAGGAGGGAAAGUGGAAAGGAUUCGGAGACAAAAGAGUUUGAGGUGUCCAAGGAGGAUGUGCAGCCACAGAGACAUGGACAGGACACAUGUGAAGACAGAGGAGGCUGACAAGGAGAAGACGGAAGAGGACGUGGUGCGCCUCCGGAGAGAGAUAGGCCUGCUGCCUGCAGUGUGCUUCAUCAUUGGCACAGUGGUGGGCAGUGGGAUCUUCAUCGCACCCAAGGGAGUCCUGAUGAACAGUGGCAGCGUGGGGCUCUCUCUGCUGGUGUGGGUGCUGUGUGGGAUCCUCUCCAUGUUUGGUAAGAUGCCUCAUGGUCUAGUUAAUCUCUG